rnacentral:misc_RNA from 1 species
GAUGAAGAACGUAGCGAAACGCGAUAGGUAAUGUGAAUUGCAGAAUUCCGUGAAUCAUCGAAUCUUUGAACGCACAUUGCGCCCCUUGGUAUUCCGAGGGGCAUGCCUGUUCGAGCGUCAUAUUAACCACUCCCGCUUGCGGGGUCUUGGGCUUCGCCUCCGGGCGGGCCUUAAAAUCAGUGGCGGUGCCGUCGGGCUCUACGCGUAGUAAAUUUUCUCGCGAUAGGGUCCCGGUGGAUGCUUGCCAACAACCCCCAACUUCUUAAGGUUGACCUCGGAUCAGGUAGGGAUACCCGCUGAACUUAAGCAUAUCAAUAAGCGGAGGA